CAUGUCACGAACAGAAUCACAGGCAACUUCAAAACAUCGGAUCACGGAAUGACCAUUGUGUGCCUAAAGAUAUCGAGUUGAAUGCUCUCUUGUGUGAUCAAUACCUCGAGUCUUACUGUUACAUCACCAAAAAUGCAGUGAUGCUUAAUACGGAGCCGAAAAAGGGGAGUUGUGGAGUCGACACCCCGCUCUGGUUAAUAGAUCAAUUCCCGAAAAUGUCGGAUGGAAUUAUGGAUAGAGACGUUUGUGUAAAGACAGAGGAAGACGCUUGCUCCGAAAUAAUAACAAUCCGAUCAAGAACUGCUCCUCCUUCUACGUGUAUAAGCUGCAGCAGUUACCAGAUAGUCUCGGAUGCCCCGCCGCCUACUGCACCGUUUCCAAAGAUUUGUGCCGCACACCUGAUCAACUUACAACACAGUCAAAAACGUAUCCAUGACAGAAAACGACGAAAAAGAAAAUACUCGUAAGUACCUUCAAUAACACCAAAUUUAAAAGUCAAGUUUGUUACAAAGUCCUCAUAUACUUAAAUAUUAGUUCAAAUGUACUGGUUAAUAUUC